GAGGAGAGCAGGGGAGACGGACGCCUAAUCAAAUAUGCCCAUUCGUUUCGGAUCCCCACUCCUGAAUUGAAUGGAAAUUAGGUCUACUUUGCGAGUCGACAUAUAUAUAGAUAUAUACAUUUCGUCUUCACCGAAUCCAUAGAGAUUGAGAAACAGGUAGCGGUGGCGGUUGUGCUGGUCGUCCAUCAAUUCAAGUUGGAACUCCAACUGCUGAUAUAUGCUGGGAAACAGCUUGCAUAUGACAAAACAGCGAAGGGGACUUCUGAUGCCAGGUUCGAAGUUAGGGUUUCAAAUGAUUCAAUCAAACGGUUUCCUAAUCUUCAAAGAUUGGUUUGUCAUAUAAAAAAAUGGAAGCACUUUUAUAUAUGUCGGCUAUAAGCAACUAACUUUUCUGGUAUCAAUCAACAGAAGCUGCAGCAGGCACUUUUACAAGUGGUGGAGUGCUGGCGAGAUAAGCACCGUGAUGGAGGGAUAUACCGUUGUUUAUCUGUUGUACGCACAUGCUCGAAUAUGCUCAAUUAUUUCUGGUAAAGACAUUGAGGAAUUGAAAAAGGGCACGAAUAAUAUUGUAUAAAGAUGAAGAACACAAGUUGGGAUUACAUUUGCUUCUGUUUACCGAGGUUGUCGAGAGGCAUGCAUAAAUCUUUUUACCAAAUGUGAUGUGUGAAUUUUAUUAGAGAAGUUUACAAGUUUUUACUCCGAGUGCCAGUCUAAACAGAUUCGUGUUAGUUUCAAGUCGAUCCCGCGAACAUGUUUAGCUAGACGGGUUGGUUUGGGUCAACCAGCCGUGUUUUCCGGGUUGGUAGAGUGUAAUAGUUUUUUAUUUUCUAUUGUAUGUUUUAUACAGAAUAAUUUAUGAUGCGAAUUUGUAUGGAUCCUUCUAUAGCUCUAGAGAUACUGAGAUUGUUUGUAGCGCAACUUCAUUUUGCUUGUUUUAUGUAUUACAUUUUAAAACCUAUAUAAGAUUUUU
rnacentral:lncRNA from 1 species